rnacentral:lncRNA from 1 species
AUGUGCACGGGUGGAGUAUAUAGGCAUAUAGAAAAAAAAAGCGAGACAUGGAGAACGUCGCUGACAUAACAACCCUACAAAAUAUCCUCCAACAAUGAGCAGAAACCUAUAAACAUUCCUCCAAAACUUCAAAUUCGCUGACGAAAGCAAAGUAUAUACUGAUUAGAUUGUGUUCAGAUUAGUAUUGAUUUGUUUAAACCAUACAUACGUGCCUCUGUAUCCCCGGACACAACGUUGUUCCCC